AACAGCUCAAAUUUGAAAUCUGGCUCCUUUGGAGUCCGAGUUGUAAUUACUAGAAGAUGAUUUGGGUUGUGGGUUCGGCCUAAGUUCCUUGGAAUAGGACGUCAUAGAGGGUGAGAAUCCCGUAUGUGGCCGAGGCCUGCGCCUGUGUAAAGCUCUUUCGACGAGUCGAGUUGUUUGGGAAUGCAGCUCAAAAUGGGUGGUAAAUUUCAUCUAAAGCUAAAUAUGGGCCAGAGACCGAUAGCGCACAAGUAGAGUGAUCGAAAGAUGAAAAGCACUUUGGAAAGAGAGUUAAACAGUACGUGAAAUUGUUGAAAGGGAAGCGUUUGCAACCAGACUUGGGCACUGCCGAUCACCCUGAGUUCUCUCAGGUGCACUCGACAGCGCACAGGCCAGCAUCGGUUCACCUGCUGGAUAAAGGCCGUAGGAACGUAGCUCCCCUCGGGGAGUGUUAUAGCCUACGGUGCCAUGCAGCCCAGCCGGACCGAGGACCGCGCCUUCGGGCUAGGAUGCUGGCGUAAUGGUUGUAAGCGACCCG
rnacentral:rRNA from 1 species